UCUAAAAACUAAUCCAAGAUAAUGGAGUUCUAGUUAGUUCUAAGUUCUAACCAAAAAGAUUUUAAAGAUAAUACUUGAAUUUUUUAAGAGUGUGCCUGAACCGCGAUUCGCCGACACAAUCGAUCAACAUUGCCGACGACGUCAGAUCUACUGUUUGUUGUACGGGGAAGAGCCGAUUGCCAUUACAGAUAGACAAUGAGGAAGUUGUGAUUCAGUGAAAUCGCCUCAGUGAAGGUCGUUUGGAGUAACCACUCGAGAUAAAGAAGUUGUUCGGGAGGUGGCAGAGAUCCCCUGGAAUUAAUCGAGGUGCACGCAAAGAAAAGCUGGCCCGGACACCUCGGUAAAGAAAAAAGAAAAGCUAUUUGGGAGGUUGAGGAGGUCAUACAAGCACAAUAUUUGAACACACACCCAAGAACAGCAAAAGAUGAAAGAAUGAUAAUCAGAAGAGGACAUAGGUUUAAAUGUGGAUGGUGAUGCAUGUAUUAGUAAUACAGAGACUGUAAUGCAAGAAUUAUUUCCUAUUAGAUGUUUGGCAAAAAUGUAUUGUUUAUUUUUAACAAAACAUAUAGAAGUCUGUUUAAUACUGAAUUGUUGAUCUUCUUUAAUAUGAGGACAUUUUUGUCAUAUUAAUUGUGUAAUUCAUGUAUUAUUAAUA